rnacentral:rRNA from 1 species
UACGUAGGCGGCAAGCGUUGUCCGGAAUUACUGGGUGUAAAGCGCGUGUAGGCGGGAGGCCAAGUCUGCUGUGAAAUCGCUCGGCUCAACUGGGCGGGGUCGGUGGAAACUGGUCACCUGGAGGACGGUAGAGGCGAGUGGAAUUCCCGGUGUAGUGGUGAAAUGCGUAGAGAUCGGGAGGAACACCAGUGGCGAAGGCGGCCCGCUGGGCCGGUCCUGACGCUGAGACGCGAAGGCGUGGGGAGCGAACGGG